rnacentral:sRNA from 1 species
GCUGGGUGCUGUGGCGCAUACCUGCAAUUCCAGCAGCUUGGGAGGCUGAGACAGGAGAAUUGCGGGUUCAAAGCCAGCCUCAGCAAUAGGGAGGGACUAAGCAACUCAGUGAGACCCUGUCUCUA